AGUUUAAACAAAGCAUGUGAAGUUUGUUUUUGUGCUAAACACCCUAAAACUAGUUUUUCUUUAAGUGAGAAUAAAGCCUCUAAUUUUUUUGAAAAGAUAUACUGUGACUUAUGGGGACCAUAUAAACAUGAAUCGUCUUGUGGUAGUUGUUAUUUUUUUGACAAUAGUGAAUGAUUUUUCUCGUGCUGUUUGGAUUUAUUUGUUUUUUGAAUUUUUGAUAAAAUAGAGAUAUUUCGUUUGUUUAUGUCAUUUGUGGCAAUGGUGGAUAGACAAUUUUUUCGAACAAUUAAAGUUGUUUAAAGUGAUAACAACACUGAAUUUAAUUGUUUAUGUGAUUUUUUUUAAUGCCACUGACAUAUUAUUUCAGACCUCAUAUGGAGGACUCCGCAACAAAAUAGUCGGGUUAAGCGAAAACAUAAACUCGUUUUGAAUUUACUUUUUUUUAAAAAAAAAACAUAAACUCGUUUUGAAUUUACGAAGGGCUUUGAAAUUUCAAGAAAAAAUAAAUCGCCUAACUUUUCUAUUUUCCCACGCAAACCCAUAUCACUUUUCUUUUCUCUGCUACUUUGCAUAACAGUACUACUCAAAGAGACCCAAAUUUCCUAAACACAAACCCUCUAAGUUCCGAUGACAUUUUUCUACUCUCUAGUGAGAAGGAUCAAAGAAUCUUGUUGUCAUCUUUUCCAGUAUUUCGUAGAAGCAACAUAGUAUAAUCCUUCAGAUUUAAGAGGUAUAUAAGAGCCAUUUUUGAGGUUAUCUUGGACAAAGGUUGGACUGACUUGAUAGAGAAGGAAUUAAUCGUUUGUAAAAAGGUUGGGAGAAGGGUCCAAACACCUCUCCAACAGUGCAUAAACAACCACCUUCCAAAGUUCAAACUGAGAACUCAAGCCCCUUACCUGCUCACAUGUAGAAUUAGAGCUUAUCAUUACACCUGAUGUCUAAUGGGAUGAGAAGAUUAGUGAAAAUGAGGAGCCAUUUUGGAUUCCGGCGAAAGAUAUUGAAGGAGGUGAGUGCGCAAUGGAAGUGAAAAUGUGUUUAAUUGAGAAAUAUAAAUUGAAUUGUUAAUUGGCAAGAUAAUUAAUAUAAAUGAACACACGAUUUUAUGUAACGACGAGCAUUUUUAUUUCACUAUUUAAAAAUAGGGGAGUACAUGUAUUCCUUUAAGGGUUUGGAUUAUGAAUUUGGAUUACAAUAUGACUCUCUUCCUAUUACUCACAAAAGAGUAUUACAAAAGUAUAGUGGAUUUGUAGGAAUAUAAAUUUGGCAGAGAAUUACAAUGAGGGUAUAUGUA